rnacentral:lncRNA from 1 species
AUUACUCAAAAGAUUCCGGAGAAGAUGAGGAACACGACUACAGAACGGACUACCUGAAGUUCACAGUGUUCCUUAUCAUGGCAUGUUUCUUCAAGGCGUUCCAGAAGCAGCUGCGCGUGCCCUACAUGAGCUGGGUGUUCCUGCUGACCACGGUCCUGCUGUGCCU